GGACGAGACAAACUGGGAAACACACUAUAGGAAACUAACAACACCAGCUACAGAACGGUGCUCACGUGCAACAGUCAAGAACAAAGUAGAGGACACCUUCCCAAAACCAGAAAGCCCCAGCUGACUUUCCAUAACCAUGGCAAAAGUUUACAAGAAGACUAGUGGCAAUGGUUCGUUAUGCCUUUAUUUGGGAAGAAGAGACUUUGUGGACCAUGUGGAACGUAUUGAUCCAGUUGAUGGGGUGCUCAAUAU